rnacentral:rRNA from 1 species
CCUACGGGUGGCAGCAGUGGGGAAUAUUGGACAAUGGGCGAAAGCCUGAUCCAGCCAUUCCGCGUGUGUGAAGAAGGCCUUCGGGUUGUAAAGCACUUUCAGUGGGGAAGAAAGCCUUGGGGCUAAUACCCUCGAGGAAGGACAUCACCCACAGAAGAAGCACCGGCUAACUCCGUGCCAGCAGCCGCGGUAAUACGGAGGGUGCGAGCGUUAAUCGGAAUUACUGGGCGUAAAGCGCGCGUAGGCGGUCUGAUAAGCCGGUUGUGAAAGCCCCGGGCUCAACCUGGGAACGGCAUCCGGAACUGUCAGGCUAGAGUGCAGGAGAGGAAGGUAGAAUUCCCGGUGUAGCGGUGAAAUGCGUAGAGAUCGGGAGGAAUACCAGUGGCGAAGGCGGCCUUCUGGACUGACACUGACGCUGAGGUGCGAAAGCGUGGGUAGCAAACAGGAUUAGAUACCCUAGUAGUC